rnacentral:rRNA from 1 species
GAUGAACGCUGGCGGCGGGCCUAACACAUGCAAGUCGAACGAGUGGCGGACGGGAGAGUAAUGUCUGGGACACUGCCCGAUGGAGGGGGUUAAUUACUGGAAACGGUAGCUAAUACCGCAUACCUUCGGCUUUGCCCUGGUGGGAUUAGCCAGUUGGUAAGGUAAAGGCUCACCAAGGCGACGAUACAUAGCCGAUCUGAGAGGGUGAUCGGCCACACUGGAACUGAGACACGGCCCAGACUCCUACGGGAGGCAGCAGUGGGGAAUAUUGCACAAUGGGCGCAAGCCUGAUGGAGCCAUGCCGCGUGUGUGAAGAAGGCCUUCGGAUUGUAAAGUUCUUUCAGCGGGGAGGCGUUACUCACAGAGAAAGCAACGGCUAACUCCGUGCCAGCAGCCGCGGUAAUUC